ensembl:rRNA 5S_rRNA 5S ribosomal RNA
GCUUACGGCCACACCGGCCUGAGUACGCCUGAUCUCGUCCGAUCUCGCAAGCUAAGCAGGGUCGGGCCUGGUUAGUACUUGGAUGGGAGACCGCCUGGGAAUACCAGGUGCUGUAAGCU